rnacentral:rRNA from 1 species
CACGUAGGUGCAAGCGUUAUCCGGAAUGACUGGGUGUAAAGGGAGCGUAGACGGUUGUACAAGUCUGAUGUGAAAGCCACGGCUCAACUGUGGGAGUGCAUUGGAAACUGUAGAACUAGAGUAUCGGAGAGGCAAGUGGAAUUCCUAGUGUAGCGGUGAAAUGCGUAGAUAUUAGGAGGAACACCAGUGGCGAAGGCGGCUUGCUGGACGAAAACUGACGUUGAGGCUCGAAAGCGUGGGGAGCAAACAGG